CCCAGGAGCGAGCCCAUGGUCUUCCGACGCGGGGCCAGGGGCGGGCCCCAGGAUCCGGAGCUUCGGGGGGGCCGAGUCCGGGUUUGGGGCCCGGGAGGCGGGGCCAGUUAGGUCGAGGGUCCCUGGGAUCGUCGGGUCAGGCCUUGGGCUAACGUAGGCACUCUCGCAGUUCCUCCGCCUUCAGGAAGGUCUUUUUAGCAGGGGCCUUACGGGUGCAUGCUUCGGUCCUGGAGGACUUAGGCUAGCCUCCUCUCCAUCAGCGCCACCCGUCUGGGGCCCGAAAGGAGGGAGCUUUCCCUCUGUCCCCCAGCCUUUGGACUGUCACCAAACAAGCCAUUCGUUCACCAAAUACUUUUUAAGCGCCUACCAUGUGCCUGACAAGGGAUAUGUAACGGUGAGAAAAACUAGGUGUGGUCCAGGCCCUUCAGGGACUCAGGGGCUCGUGGAAGAAGUGGAUAUUGAAGUACUUAUCACACAAAGGAGGAUAAAAGUACGAUAGCGAUAUCUACCACGAAGCUGUUGUUCCACACCAGAACCAAAUGAGCGCAAGAUCUGACAAAAAAAAAAGGUUCAUCUUUUAUUCUUCCAAACACUUUCAUUUAAAUCAAGAGGAUGGGAUGUGGUUAUUACUGUGUUUUUAGACAAAAUCAAUGGUUUCUGGCUCUGAGAUGUUGCAUACACCCUCUCAGUCCCUGUAUCCUGAGAUGGAGUCACCUGAGAAUCCACAGCAAGUCCUAACCAGGGAUGGGUCUGGGUGAUUAAGGAAGAUUGGCUUCAGAACUGGGCCAGGGGCACUGCUUUGCUUUUGCUGUUUUGAUCAGCUCUCUGCCUGCAGGAGACGAGGAAAACCAAUGGGAACAGGCGCAGGAAUGGGAGGCAGCAGCUGUGGAAGCCAGGGUCUCUGGCAGUCCUUGUCUCUGGGCGGUGAUCCAGAAAGAGAGAGAACACGAUUGUCUCAGCACUGGGUCUUCUUCUGAGUCAUCUUGAAGGAGCAAUUCCAGAGCGUCUCGGUGUUAAACAUCAUGUUGUGAAUGACUCAGUGAUCUCUGACCCAGAGACCUUGGGGAUAAAGGAGGGGAGGCUUUUUUCAGCUAACUGUGUCAGCUUCUUUAGCUGGGCCCAGGUCGGCGGCCCCACUUUCUUGGUGGAUGGCAACUUCAUCUGUCCUUCUGAUAUCACCAUUUUGUUCACCCUGCGAGUCGUUGAUGUUCGAUUGCGGGUUCUCUGUCUCUGCGGAGGCGCCUUCCCUUGCAUCUCUGAUGGGUUCAUUAUAGAACUUCAAAUGUCUAGUGGGUAGCCAAACAGGAAGCUGAUUUUCUCCUGGUGAAACACAAGCAAAACCUCCCCCCCAUGUUAUCACCUUACCUAUUUCCCAUGUUUUAUUUUGUUGUCUUUCCACCAAAUCAGUUUUCCCUCAUGUGGGCUGUUCUUUUUACCAGUAAAAUGUUGUUCUGCAGAAGUAAUGGUCUGAUUUCUAUAUAUAUUUAAAAAAUUUAAAGUAUAGAGUGCUAGAUUAAGUUGCAUCUGGGGAGUGUUAUAUUCCUUACUUUUUCCUUUUUUUGUUUAACCAAUUGAGCUUCGAGUGUUCUAUUAGUUGUUUCCAUUAUAGCCUGUCCUUGGAAAUUAGGGAUUCCUGUUGUAUGUGUAAUUUUCCACUGAUUUAAGAAUUUUUGAAAUGCUUUACUACAGUAUCCUGGCCCAUUAUCUGUUUUAAUUUUUUCUGGAAAUCCACUGACUGCAAAACAAGAUAAUAAAUGUCUUUUAACAUGGGAAGUACUUUCUCCUGUCUGGCAGGUUGCGCAUAUGAAAUGUGAAUAAGUAUCAACUGUCACAUGGACAAGUGACAAUUUUCCAAAUGAAGGUACAUGUGUGACGUUCAUUUGCCAUAAUGCAUCAGGACUUAAACCUCUAGGAUUAACUCCUGCCUCUUGAGCGGGCAGGUGUAAGACUUGACACUGAGCAUAAUGUUGUACAACAUUUUUUGCUUGUUUCCAUGUGAUAUCAAAUUUGUUUUUUAAUCCUGUUGCAUUUACAUGAGUCAGGGCCUGAAGUUCUUGUGCUUCCAUGAAGGCAGAUGAUACUAGCAAGUCAGCUUGUUCAUUUGCCUUAGUUAAAGGCCCUGGUAAAUUAGUAUGUGCUCGGAUAUGAGCCAUAUAAAAUGGGAAAUUUCUUUUUCUUACAGUUUGUUGUAACAAUUUAAACAGCUGAUUUAACUGAUCAUCCACACUAUAUUUGAUUAGGGCUGUCUCAACAUCCUUUGUAACCUGUACUACAUAUGCAGAAUCUGAAACAAUGUUAAUAGACUGAUUAAAAUCUUGUAACACUGAAAUGACAGCAACCAAUUCUGCUCUUUGAGCUGAGUGAUAUUGAGUUUCAAUAACUUGUUCUUUUGGUCCAGUGUAAGCCACUUUUCCAUUGCUGGAACCAUCAGUAAACACCGUCAGAGCAUUUUCUAGAGGUUUUUGUCUGGUAAUUUUAGGUAAAAUCCAAGUAGUCAAUUUCAAAAACUGGAAGAUUUUUGCUUUUGGUUAAUGAUUAUCAAUAAUUCCCACAAAAUCAGCAAGACCAAUCUGCCCUGCACCAGAAUUGAUAAAGGCUUGUCUAACCUGCUCCUUGUUUAAAGAAACAAUGAUUUUAUCUGGGUCAUUUCCACACAAUUUUACUAUUCAUAGUCUUGCCUG
rnacentral:lncRNA from 1 species